AAAACAGGUUACAAGUACACUUCUUCAUUUUGUGGAAAGGUUGCCACUCAACUGUUUAGAGAGAAGCCAUCCAUGUUGAUGACUUCUGCUUUUACCUUUAUGAGUGUAAAAAUGACAGCUUGACAAAGACAGCU